CCAGACAGCCAGGAUGUUGGCUUAGAAGCAGCCAUCAUUUAAAGAAAGCGUAAUAGCUCACUGGUCGAGUCGGCCUGCGCGGAAGAUGUAACGGGGCUAAACCAUGCACCGAAGCUGCGGCAGCGACGCUAUGCGUUGUUGGGUAGGGGAGCGUUCUGUAAGCCGUUGAAGGUGGCCUGUGAGGGUUACUGGAGGUAUCAGAAGUGCGAAUGCUGACAUAAGUAACGAUAAAGCGGGUGAAAAGCCCGCUCGCCGGAAGACCAAGGGUUCCUGUCCAACGUUAAUCGGGGCAGGGUGAGUCGACCCCUAAGGCGAGGCCGAAAGGCGUAGUCGAUGGGAAACGGGUUAAUAUUCCCGUACUUGGUGUUACUGCGAAGGGGGGACGGAGAAGGCUAUGUUGGCCGGGCGACGGUUGUCCCGGUUUAAGCGUGUAGGUGUGUGUUCCAGGUAAAUCCGGUUCACUUUAACACUGAGGCGUGAUGACGAGGCACUACGGUGCUGAAGCAACAAAUGCCCUGCUUCCAGGAAAAGCCUCUAAGCAUCAGGUAACAUCAAAUCGUACCCCAAACCGACACAGGUGGUCAGGUAGAGAAUACCAAGGCGCUUGA
rnacentral:rRNA from 1 species